ensembl:snRNA U6 U6 spliceosomal RNA
GUGCUCGCUUUGGCAACACAUACACUAAAAUCGGAACGACAGAGAGAAGAUUAGCAGGGCCCCUGUGCAAGGAUGACAUGCAAAUUCGUGAGGCGUUCCAUAUUUUU